rnacentral:lncRNA from 1 species
UCCCAAACAUCUUGUAUUAUUGAUUAAGCCUUAAUUGCAAUCAAGAGAACAUCAUACUAAGAUCAAACAUUGAUUCCAUUAUUCUCUUGCUUCAACCGAAUAUCAAAACACAAAAGAUACACAAAUCAAGCACCAAAAACCCUUACCUUCUCCAGUAAGCCUUUAGAGUUUUGAAGCUGGAAGAGACAACUGGCAGCUUUAAUUUUUCCGAAACGAGAUUCAUUCUUGGUGAUCCACGUGGAAGGAAAACAAGUACAAAGUUUUGGAAAGUGUAGCUGCAUAAUCGAAGAGGCUCUUCGAUGAUUUACAGAUUGGAUGGUUAGAGUUUACUAAGGUUUUAUCGUAUCUAUACCAGCUGUAGGUUAUUUUUUUCUAGCAGAUCAUUUUGGCUAGGUUUGCCCUAUGGUUUUUUAUCCAUAUAAAGAGUUCUUCAAGUGGUUUUCCUCCGUUACAAAACUUGAUGUUCUUUGCUUAAUUGCUUUUGAUCUAAAUAGCUUGACUGACACUUGGGUUUAAAUUGAUUUUAAAAUUAAUCAUCUAGAAGUAAUAAAUGAGUGAUUUGUUACUUUUUAUUGGUUAACUGAAUUCCGCAUUAUACACAUCCAGUUGUAGUUAAGUUCAAACUCGAUUAUUUUCAGUAUUUAGUCAAUAAAAUAAAAACAAAAACUGAAGGUAUUAAUUUGAAAAUUUUAAACUUUAAAUAUUUAUAUUACAACAAUCCUCCGCAAGUUUUAAACUUUCAAAAUUGAUAAAUAUAUAUAUAAUAUAUAUAAUGACAACAUUAUACAGUGCAAUAGUUGUGUAAAUGCCUUUCGACUUGAACCUUAUUUAGUGAUAACAAUUUUCAUUUGAGGGAGCAAUAAUGGACUAAGUCUCGAAUUAAAUUCCUUUAGCCAAAUUUCAAUUACUACACAUAGAGUGUUGAUUUAGGCGCAGAUAAUGGCCAUGUGGUAUUAUCUUGAUUAUAGUGAGUCCUUGAGGAUUAGCCCAACUCUAUAGCCAUGAUCUCAUGGAAACUCUUACAUAGAUAAAUCCUUCAAUGGUGCAUGUGAACAACACCUUUCUGGAAUUCUUGUCCCGAUAUUCAUUCAAUGUUAAACCCUUUGACAUCACAUCAUUAUUAGCACUAUUACUAUAGAAAUGAAUACAAAAAAUAUAAUACUAUUAUGAGUCACGCGAUGCGGGUUAUCUCUACUACAUUGAACAAUAAUUUGGUACCACAUAUUUGGAAAGCUCUUAUUCUCCACCUGCACAUCUGCAAAAUCUUCUAUACUUUCCAAAAUAUCAAUCUCACGUAUUUAACUAUAAUAAGAUAAGCACAUGAAAGAUUUUAAUUUUGAUUUUUAGUAGCACGUUUGAGCAUAUGCAUCCAUUCAUUUCUUGUAUUUACCUGUAGGUCUACAUUUUAUUUUUAACACUUUUCAAAAGUCAGUUUUUCAACAAAAAAUAAGGUGUCUCUAUAUUGACACCUUCACAUUCCAAAUGAAUAAUAAUUCAUUACCAAAUAAUUCUCAAUUUUCAUAUAUCACAAUAUAAUAUUAAUCUUUGUAGCUAACUAAGAAUAAUCAACCAUCAAUGUAUAUCCUACUCAUACGUGAAUGAAUAAAUUAAAUUAUAAAUUACCAUCAUCGUAGUCAUCAAGUUGAUGUCAAUGGGCAUGGAUAUUUAGCACACAUAUAUCCAAAAUUUUUGAUAUCCCUCAACUUUUGGACCUUCUUUUCCAAGAAUGAAAUUAACAUUAGGAUGAUAGCAUGAUUGUUUGGUAAAAAGAGAACUACAUAGUUGCAGCAAACAAAUUUGUUUGGAGAAAGAAAACUUAGGAGUGAAAAUAAUGUCCAAAUAUAAAAUCAGAAAAAGAAAACAAAUGUUUUUUCAGUCAGGCAGAGAGGUACUUCAUUGAGAUAACCAAUGGAAGUGGUUCUAAUUAAAAUAUACAAAAAUGACUCAUGAUGGUACAAUGCCGCAGCAUUCAAUAUUCAUACAAUUGAAAACCUCUCAAUUUACUCAAAGGCUGAUUAAGCUCAUUUAGCAUAGACGAAAAAGAGGAAGUUCAGAUCAUCUGUUUGAUUGACUAGAUAAAACUUAAUAAAAUUUACAUGCCUUUUCAGAACCAAUCCCCUUGGAUGAUUUUUCUGUGACCUCAUGCAAAUCAGGAAAUAUGGUUUAUCCAAAUUUUAGGGAAUUAAUUAGUAUGAAAUUUUAAUUUUCUUACUGUAAAGAAGUGAAAUCUUUCUGCUCAACUAGCGAACGAUUUAACAGCAGUUAGAAGUAUUCAUAUAAAAAGCAGAAUUUCUAUUUUAACGCAGUUGUUAGAAGCAAGUGAAUGCAUCUGCACUUUUAUUUGCUCAUUGCAUUAAUUGUGUACCAAACAAUUAUUGGACACAUCUAUUGGCAAAAAUUCUCAUGGAAUAAUAGUCGUUCCAAAUGUUUUACACUAUCAAGUAUUACCAUUCUAUUAGAGAAAGCUCAUCAAGCAUAGUACUGAACCUGCAUACAUCCUAUGAGAAAAUUAUUCAAAUUGCUUAAAUUUGAAGCAGUACGUCAUAGGAUAUCUCAAAUCCUAUCCCCUCAGGUGAACUACAAAUCUUUUCUGUUUUGUUCCAAGUCAGAGCCAUGAUAAACAUCAGUUCAAAAAUGAUCAAGUUUUUUUCCCAUUUACUCAUCAUUGUAAUGCCAAACCAUCGUUUUAGCAUAACCUUCAAAAUCUGUACAAAACUUGUGUUACAAAUAAGUGUGAGGGAUCUAAAGUAACGUAUAAAAGCUAAGCUACCGACCAAAUAUUCACACGUCAUAUCUAAUAUUUUAUUUAACAGAUAUAUUGAUUUCAUCAAAAUUUAGAUUAAUACUAGAGCACAUCAAAAUUCAAUUACAAAGAGUAAACUUGGAUGAAGAAGAAGAACUAAUUAUUCCACUACAUACAAAUCA